GGGUCAGUAGGUUGGUCGUGCCACCGGUACGUACUGGUCUCACUGAUUCCUCCUUCCUGAAGAACCGUAAUGCCAUUAUUUUGGUGUUGCGGGGAGACAGGACUGUUACUUUGAAAAAAUUAGAGGGUUUAAAGCAAGCUAACGCUUGAAUACAUUAGCAUGGAAUAAUGAAAUAGGACGAUCGAUCCUAUGUUGUUGGUUUCUAGGAUUGACGUA
rnacentral:rRNA from 1 species